rnacentral:rRNA from 1 species
UAUCUCUGUAGAGUCUGCAUAUCAAUAAGCGGAGGAAAAGAAACUAACUAGGAUUCCCUCAGUAACGGCGAGUGAAGCGGGAAGAGCUCAAAUUUGAAAUCUUCAAGGUUCUACCUUGACGAAUUGUAGUUUAAAGAAGUGUUUUCUGUUGGAGUUUUGGUAAAAGUUCUUUGGAAUAGGACAUCAUAGAGGGUGAGAAUCCCGUAUUUGACCAUUAUUUCCAGCUUUGUGAUACACUUUCAAAGAGUCGGAUUGUUUGGGAAUGCAGUCCAAAAUGGGUGGUAAAUUUCAUCUAAAGCUAAAUACUGGCGAGAGACCGAUAGCGAACAAGUACCGUGAGGGAAAGAUGAAAAGAACUUUGAAAAGAGAGUUAAACAGUACGUGAAAUUGUCAAAAGGGAAGCGUUUGACACCAGUGUUGUUUUCUCGAAAAUCAAUUAAAAAAGGCAGGAUUUUGUGUUGUAUUGACUUUAUCAGCUUUCUGCACUCUUUUCUUGUCUUUUUUUAAUGCACUUUUCGUUUAACAAGUCAACAUCAAUUUCUUUUGUUGUAAAAGGGUCAUUGGAAGGUGGCUUUCUUUUCGGAGAAAGUGUUUAUAGCCUUUGACUUCUGCAAUCGGAGAGACUGAGGUCUGCAGCGUAGAUCCUUCGGGAUUAGAUUCAUUUGUGCUAAGUUACAGCCGUUUAUAGACAACUUGUUGACUAUGAUUCAGUCCUGUUAGCUUACUCACUUAUGUAUUUUACCUACGCUUAGGAUGUUGAAGAUGUAGCACAUCAU